rnacentral:rRNA from 1 species
CCUGGUUGAUCCUGCCACUAGUCAUAUGCUUGACUCAAAGAUUAAGCCAUGCAUGUGUAAGUAUGAACAAAUUCAGACUGUGAAAUUGUGAAUGGCUCAUUAAAUCAGUUAUAGUUUGUUUGAUGGUAUCUACUACUCGGAUAACCAUAGUAAUUCUAGAGCUAAUACAUGCAACAAACCCUGACUUUUGGAAGGGAUGCAUUUAUUAGAUAAAAAGUCAACGCACGCUCUGCUCGUUGCUGCAAUGAUUUAUGAUAACUCGACGAAUCGCACGACCAUCAUGCCGGAGACGCAUCAUUCAAAAUUAUGCCCUAUCAACUUUUGAUGGUAGGAUAGUGGCCUACCAUGGUGGUGACAGGUGACGGAUAAAGAGCCUGAGAAAUGGCUACCACAUCCAAGAAAGGCAGCAGGCGCGCAAAUUACCCAAUCCUGACACAGGGAGGUAGUGACAAUAAAUAAUAAUACCGGGCUCUAUGUGUUUGGUAAUUGGAAUGAGGACAAUCUAAAUCCCUUUACGAGGAUCCAUCGGAGGGAAACUCUAGUUCCAGCAGCCGCGGUGAUUCCAGCUCCAAUAGCGUAUAUUUAAGUUUUUAUAGUUAAAAAGCUCGUAGUUAGACUUUGGGAUGGGCCGGCUGGUCUGCCUUAGGUGUGCACCGGUCGUCUCGUCCCUUCUGUCAGCGAUGUUCUCCUUGCCUUAAUUGGCCGGGUCGUGCCUCCGGUGCUGUUACUUUGAAGAAAUUAGAGUUCUCAAAGCAAGCCUACGCUCUGUGUACAUUAGCAAGGGAUAACGUUAUAGGAUUUCGGUCCUAUUACGUUGGCCUUCGGGAUCGGAGUAAUGAUUAAUAGGGACAGUUGGGGGCAUUCAUAUUUCAUAGUCAGAGGUGAAAUUCUUAGAUUUAUGAAAGACGAACAACUGCGAAAGCAUUUGCCAAGGAUGUUUUCAUAUAUUAAGAAUGAAAGUUGGGGGCUCGAAGACGAUCAGAUACCGUCCUAGUCUCAACCAUAAAUGAUGCCGACCAGGGAUCGGCGAAUGUUGCUUUUAGGACUCCGCCGACACCUUAUGAAAAAUCAAAGUUUUUGGGUUCCGGGGGGAGUAUGGUCGCAAGGCUAAAAAUUAAAGGAAUUGACGGAAGGGCACCACCAGGAGUGGAUCCUGCAGCUUAAUUUGACUCAACACGGGGAAACUUACCAGGUCCAUACAUAGUAAGGAUUGACAAACUGAGAGCUCUUUCUUGAUUCUAUGGGUGGUGGUGCAUGGCCGCUCUUAGUUGGUGGAGCGAUCUGUCUGGUUAAUUUUGUUAACGAACAAGACCUCAGCCUGCUAACUAGCUAUGCGGAGGUAUCCCUUCGCGGCCAGCUUAUUAGAGGGACUACGGCCUUUAAGGUCGUGAAAGUUUGAGGCAAUAACAUGUCUGUGAUUCCCUUAGAUGUUCUGGGCUGCACGCGCGCUACACUGAUGUAUUCAAUGAUUUUAUAGCCUUGGCCGACAGGCCCGAGUAAUCUUUGAAAUUUCAUCGUGAUGGGGAUAGAUCAUUGUAAUUGUUGGUCUUCAACGAGGAAUUCCUAGUAAUCGCGAGUCAUCGGCUCGCAUUGACUACGUUCCUGUCUUUUGUACACACCGCCCCUCGCUCCUAUCGAUUGAAAGAUCUAGUGAAAUGUUCGAAUCAUGGCGAUGUGGGCGGUUUACUUCCUGCAAUGUCAUGAGAAGUCCAUUGAACCUUAUCAUUUAGAGGAAGGAGAAGUCGUAAUAAGGUUUCCAUAGGUGAACCUGUAGAAG